UUAAUAAAUAAAAUGAUCAUAUAGCAAGGAAAUAAUUUAUACAUCUAUUAAUAGUUGUCUCUUUCAGAAAGGUUUGUCAACUAUUCCUUUAGUUUAGAAGUUUCCAGUAUUGCUCUGUAUAACAAAUUCUGAGUGACACAAGGGGAGAGUUAGGUGAGAAAGAGGAAAUGCACAGUUACACCUUGGACCCUUUUUUCCCUUUACUGUUUUGGUUUUGAAGCCAGGCCCAAUGUCAUCAUCGCAAUGGAUUUGUGAGGCUGGUCAGAGGCUUUGGCUCUUGGGUAUUUGCCUUUCUGAUCCACCCAUCUUUUAGUUUGAUGCAACUUCUUUGAUGCAGUUUUACUGAGUCACAAAAUGAUCCUAUACUCUCAGACACUGCGUGUACAUUCCACAUGGAAGAGGGGCAAAUAAAGGACCAUUAACUGGGGAAAAUUCAUCUGAAAAAAUUCCACCCUUCUCAGGUUAACUUAAUGUGAGUACAGUGGUGUGCUCUGUGAGGGCUGCUCCUUUCUCUGUCAAAUGUCCUUGCUGAAGCAUGCUAAUAAGGUACCCUUUGUGAUUUAUAUGAGCUAUCAUUAGAAAAAGGAACAAGAAUUAUAGAAAAGCAACUCUUAGGUGGUGAGUCAUGUUACAGAAAACGCACAACUUAAAAUAUAACAAUGACUCUGUUGUGCUAUCUAAUGCCCGUCAAAAGAUGACUGCAUCACCAAUUCUGCAAAAUUUUCUUCAUUCUUGUCUUUUAUUUCACUCCUGUGAGAACAUAUGUAUCUUGUCUCAGGAAAGUUGAGAUUAAAAAGCAUAUACAUCUAAAAUGAAAUGAAAUGAAACAUAAUAAGAGAAAGUAAAAACAUACUUAGAUUAGAAAUCACAGUUUAGAGGUCAUGCAACCUCUGGCUCCAAGGCUGUGAACCUCCCGAAGUUGCUUCUGGUGAUAACAUCACUAUUGUAAAACCUGAAAUCAGUGCUUGAGAUAUUUUGCACACCCUGCACUCCAUGGAUCAGCUGACACCACCCAGACUGGUCAUCUGGCUCAACCAGUUCUGCCAUCCCAUUCAGGAACAGAUGACAGUAAGAAAAACUCACUUCUAACUCCAUGAUUCCAUCGCCAACCUGAUCAAUCAGCACUCCCCACAUCACAAGCCCUUACCCGCCAAAUUAUCUUUAAAAACUCUGAUGCUCGAAUGCUCCAGGAGACUGAUUUUGAGAGGUGAAGCCAGCUGAGCUUCUGGGUCAGGUGGAGACUUGGAGAACUUUUGUGUCUAGUUAAAGGAUUGUAAAUGCACCAAUCAGCGCUCUGUAUCUAGCUAAAGGAUUGUAAACACACCAAUCAGCUCUCUGUAAAAAUGCACCAAUCAGCACUUUGUAAAAUGGUCCAAUCAGCACUCUGUAAAAUGGACCAAUCAGCAGGAUGUGGGCAGGGCUAAAUAAGGGAAUAAAAACUGGCAACCAGAGCCAGCAGACGCAACCUGCUGGAGUCCCCAUUCCGGGUGCGGAAGCUUUGUUGUUUUGCUCUUCGCAAAUCUUGCUGGUGCUCACGCUUUGGGUCUGCACUACCUUUAAGAGCUGUAACACUCACUGCGAAGGUCUGCGGCUUCACUCCUGAAGUCAGCGAGACCACAAACCCACUGGAAGGAAGAAACUCCAGACACACCAUCUUUAAGAGUUGUAACACUCACCGUGAAGGUCUGCGGCUUCAUUCUUGAAGUCAGUGAAACCAAGAACCCUUGAAAGAAACCAACUCGGGACACAAUUUGACCGGUAAUAAAACAGUGGUUUCCUGAACAGUUGGUUCCGCAUGCAUUACUCUUUAUCCAUCGAAAUUCCGCUGUCUUGAUAAAUUGUCUCCAUCUAGGCAGCAGGCAAGGUGAACCUAUUGGGUGGUUACAACUUUGUUGUAAGUUUACAUUUGUACAGGCACAAUCCUUAUUUGCUGACCUACCAUGCCAUUGUAGGUCCGUAGAUUGUAGUUUAUGGAUUGUUUGCACUAACUGACGAGGAGCUGAGUUUUUUACAAAAGCCUCCAUUUGUUUCAUGUUGUGACUCUGUUGUUUUUUCCUAAAUACACCUAAUGAGAAUGGUGGUACUUCAUUUUAUGGCUGUCAAAGCAAUAAAAUGGUGAGCAAACCUAAGCUAGAAAAUCUAAUCCCAUCUUCGCAUAUGACAGUAGGCCCCUAGCUUUACAGCUGUUAUUGCCUCCUAUUUCCAAAUGAUGCUGCUGAUGAGUUACAUACACAGAAAAUCAUUUUCGGUUAGUGGUAAAUUAUCCAAGCUCCUAGUGCUUUUCAUAGCACUGAUCAAGUGUUUGCCAUUCCCCUCAAUCAUUCUGCAGUCUGUGAAACAUGCUAGCAACCCAGUAAAUAUUUCAUUGAAAAAUUGUCAUUUUCUCACAGAAAACUAUAUGUCAAAUAUUCAGAUAUUUGUUAAUAAAUAUACUAAUAUUAAUAUCAAUAUUCUUUACCUACCUGAACAAAAUUAGUCUUACCUAGAAAAAUUGGCAGAGGUAUUGUGUUUAUUUUUCCUUGCUUUCAGUAAUAUACAACUGAGAAAUUUUUCUGCAAUGGGGGGGGAAUCCCAAAAGUACCUUUUGAAAACUAGUUGUCAUUUGUUAACACUAUAGCUUAAUAUCAUGAUGAAUUUUUUUGGCAUGUGGUAUUUAUAAAUAAAUGAAGUUAUAAGAAAACU
rnacentral:lncRNA from 10 species